UACGUAGGGUGCAAGCGUUGUCCGGAAUUAUUGGGCGUAAAGAGCUCGUAGGCGGUCUGUCACGUCGGCUGUGAAAGCCCGGGGCUCAACCCCGGGCCUGCAGUCGAUACGGGCAGGCUAGAGUUCGGUAGGGGAGAUCGGAAUUCCUGGUGUAGCGGUGAAAUGCGCAGAUAUCAGGAGGAACACCGGUGGCGAAGGCGGAUCUCUGGGCCGAUACUGACGCUGAGGAGCGAAAGCGUGGGGAGCGAACAGG
rnacentral:rRNA from 1 species